UUUCCGUAGGUGAACCUGCGGAAGGAUCAUUACUGAGUGAGGGCCCCUCGGGGUCCAACCUCCCACCCGUGUUUAACGAACCUUGUUGCUUCGGCGGGCCCGCCUCACGGCCGCCGGGGGGCAUCUGCCCCCGGGCCCGCGCCCGCCGAAGCCACCUGUGAACGCUGUCUGAAGUAUGCAUUCUGAGACAAUUAUUAAAUUAAUUAAAACUUUCAACAACGGAUCUCUUGGUUCCG
rnacentral:misc_RNA from 1 species